ACUCAAAUGAAUAGACGGGGGCCCGCACAAGCGGUGGAGCAUGUGGUUUAAUUCGACGCAACGCGAAGAACCUUACCUGGGUUAAAUCCGCCGGAACUUUACAGAGAUGUAGGGGUGCCCUUCGGGGAACCGGUGAGAAGGUGCUGCAUGGCUGUCGUCAGCUCGUGUCGUGAGAUGUUGGGUUAAGUCCCGCAACGAGCGCAACCCUUGUCGUUAGUUGCUAACAGGUCAUGCUGAGCACUCUAGCGAGACUGCCGACGUUAAGUCGGAGGAAGGUGGGGAUGACGUCAAGUCCUCAUGGCCCUCAUGCCCAGGGCUACACACGUGCUACAAUGGCCGGUACAAACGGUCGCGAACCUGCGAAGGUGAGCUAAUCUGAAAAAACCGGUCUCAGUUCGGAUUGGAGUCUGCAACUCGACUCCAUGAAGUUGGAAUCGCUAGUAAUCGCGGAUCAGCACGCCGCGGUGAAUACGUUCCCGGGCCUUGCACACACCGCCCGU
rnacentral:rRNA from 1 species